CGAGUUACCGUAUGAUCAACAAAGUUAAGCAACGUCGAGCCUCGUCAGUACUUAUAUGAGUGACCGCUUGGGAAUACUAGGUGCUGUAAG